UAGGGAAUCUUCCACAAUGGGACGAAAGUCUGAUGGAGCAACGCCGCGUGAGUGAAGAAGGGUUUCGGCUCGUAAAACUCUGUUGUUAAAGAAGAACAUAUCUGAGAGUAACUGUUCAGGUAUUGACGGUAUUUAACCAGAAAGCCACGGCUAACUACGUGCCA
rnacentral:rRNA from 1 species